GACAGAGGGUGCAAACGUUGUUCGGAAUUACUGGGCGUAAAGCGCGUGUAGGCGGCCCUGCAAGUCGGGUGUGAAAUCCCACGGCUCAACCGUGGAAGUGCACUCGAAACUGCAGGGCUAGAGUCCUGGAGAGGAAGGUGGAAUGCUUGGUGUAGAGGUGAAAUUCGCAGAUAUCAGGAGGAACACCGGUGGCGAAGGCGGUUCUCUGGGCAUGUCCUGACGCUGAGGAGCGAAAGUGUGGGGAGCGAACAGG
rnacentral:rRNA from 1 species